CACGGAGGGGGCUAGCGUUGCUCGGAAUCAUUGGGCGUAAAGCGGGUGUAGGCGGACAACCAAGUCAGAUGUGAAAGCCCCGGGCUCAACCUGGGAAGUGCAUUUGAAACUGGUUAUCUUGAGUGCAGUAGAGGAAGGUGGAAUUCCAAGUGUAGUGGUGAAAUACGUAGAUAUUUGGAGGAACAUCGGUGGCGAAGGCGACCUUCUGGACUGUUACUGACGCUGAGACCCGAAAGCGUGGGGAGCAAACAGG
rnacentral:rRNA from 1 species